rnacentral:rRNA from 1 species
UACGUAGGGUGCGAGCGUUGUCCGGAAUUAUUGGGCGUAAAGAGCUCGUAGGCGGUGUGUCACGUCGAUCGUGAAAACUUGGGGCUUAACUCUGAGCUUGCGGUCGAUACGGGCAUCACUGGAGUUCGGCAGGGGAGACUGGAAUUCCUGGUGUAGCGGUGAAAUGCGCAGAUAUCAGGAGGAACACCGGUGGCGAAGGCGGGCGUUC